GCCUGGGUGGCUCAGUCGGUUGAGCAUCCGACUUCGGCUCAGGUCAUGAUCUCACGGUCUGUGGGUUCGAGCCCUGCGUCGGGCU
rnacentral:tRNA from 1 species